UACGUAGGGUGCAAGCGUUGUCCGGAAUUAUUGGGCGUAAAGAGCUCGUAGGCGGUCUGUCGCGUCGGCUGUGAAAACCCGGAGCUCAACUCCGGGCCUGCAGUCGAUACGGGCAGACUGGAGUUCGGCAGGGGAGACUGGAAUUCCUGGUGUAGCGGUGAAAUGCGCAGAUAUCAGGAGGAACACCGGUGGCGAAGGCGGGGUCUCUGGGGCCGAUACUGACGCUGAGGAGCGAAAAGCGUGGGGGAGCGAACAGG
rnacentral:rRNA from 1 species